AACUAAGGCAUAACACCUUGUAAAUGCCUGAUCUAGUUUGAUCUUAGGAGCUAACAGGGUUGGGCCUAGUUAGUACUUGGAUGAGAAAGUGAUGGGAAUACCAUGUGCUGUAGUGG
rnacentral:rRNA from 1 species